rnacentral:rRNA from 1 species
GACGAACCGUGCGAACGUUAUUCGGAAUCACUGGGCUUAAAGCGCGUGUAGGCGGGUGGGAACGUCGGCCGCUGAAAUCCCCCGGCUCAACCGGGGAAGUGGCGCCGAAACGGCCCGCCUGGAGGAACGUAGGGGAGCUGGAACUUCCGGUGGAGCGGUGAAAUGCGUUGAGAUCGGAAGGAACGCCCGUGGCGAAAGCGAGGUCCUGGACGCCUACGUGACGCUGAGACGCGAAAGCCAGGGGAGCGAACGGG